rnacentral:snRNA from 1 species
UUGCUCACUUCGGCAUCACAUAUACUAAAAUUGGAACAAUACGGAGAUUAGCACAGCCCCUGCACAAGGAUGACAUGCAAAUUCAUGAAGCAUUCCAUAUUUAA